GAAAGAUGACGCGAAUGUACAAAAAUGAAUGACGGUAUGGACUUUCGGUAAGAAUGCCGAUUCAGGGGCUGAUCUAAAGGAACAAAUCCGAAAGAUGAGAUGGCUAACCACAAAAACGUGCAUGACGAAAGAAUUCCUAUAGAAAGUGAUGUAUUUUUGAUAGUUUCAAUGCUUAGCCCAUGUGUGCAUAAAGUAUUGCCAGUUAUGUGCAAAAUAAAAUAUUACGUACAUAUCUGUUCAUAGCUAAACGUUUUCUGCACCAGUAGAAUUAGCUUAGUGAGCAGGCAUUGAAAUUUUUACUAGGGAUUGAUGCCAAAGUCCUCUUUUUAAUAAACCCUGUAUAUUCUUUA